rnacentral:rRNA from 1 species
GACGGGGGGGUCCUAGCGUUGUUCGGAAUCAUUGGGCGUAAAGCGGGCGUAGGUGGCUAUGUAAGUCAGGAGUGAAAGCCCCUGGGCUCAACCCAGGAAGUGCUUUUUGAAACUGCGUAGCUUGAGUGUGGAAGAGGAUAGUGGAAUUCCAGGUGUAGUGGUGAAAUACGUAGAUAUCUGGAGGAACACCGGUGGCGAAGGCGGCUCUCUGGACCGGUGCUGACGCUCAGGCGCGAAAGCUAGGGGAGCAAACGGG